GAUGAACGCUGGCGGCGUGCUUAACACAUGCAAGUCGAACGAUGAAGCCCAGCUUGCCGGGUGGAUUAGUGGCGAACGGGUGAGUAACACGUGAGUAACCUGCCCUUAACUCUGGGAUAAGCCUGGGAAACUGGGUCUAAUACCGGAUAGGAGCGUCCACCGCAUGGUGGGUGUUGGAAAGAUUUAUCGGUUUUGGAUGGACUCGCGGCCUAUCAGCUUGUUGGUGAGGUAAUGGCUCACCAAGGCGACGACGGGUAGCCGGCCUGAGAGGGUGACCGGCCACACUGGGACUGAGACACGGCCCAGACUCCUACGGGAGGCAGCAGUGGGGAAUAUUGCACAAUGGGCGCAAGCCUGAUGCAGCGACGCCGCGUGAGGGAUGACGGCCUUCGGGUUGUAAACCUCUUUCAGUAGGGAAGAAGCGAAAGUGACGGUACCUGCAGAAGAAGCACCGGCUAACUACGUG
rnacentral:rRNA from 1 species